rnacentral:rRNA from 1 species
UACAGAGGUCUCAAGCGUUGUUCGGAUUCAUUGGGCGUAAAGGGUGCGUAGGCGGCGCGGUAAGUCGGGUGUGAAAUCUCGGAGCUUAACUCCGAAACUGCAUUCGAUACUGCCGUGCUUGAGGACUGGAGAGGAGACGUGGAAUUUACGGUGUAGCGGUGAAAUGCGUAGAUAUCAGGAGGAACACCUGUGGCGAAAGCGGCUCACUGGACCACAACUGACGCUGAGGCGCGAAAGCUAGGGGGAGCAAACAGG